AUCAACUUUCGAUGGUAGGAUAGAGGCCUACCAUGGUGGUAACGGGUAACGGGGUGUUAGGGCACGACACCGGAGAGGGAGCCUGAGAAACGGCUACCACAUCCAAGGAUGGCAGCAGGCGCGCAAAUUACCCAAUCCCGACACGGGGAGGUAGUGACAAUAAAUAACAAUACGGGGUUCUUUCGGAUUUCGUAAUUGGAAUGAGUACAAUUUAAAUCUCUUAACGAGGAACAAUUGGAGGGCAAGUCUGGUGCCAGCAGCCGCGGUAAUUCCAGCUCCAAUAGCGUAUAUUAAAGUUGUUGCAGUUAAAAAGCUCGUAGUUGAAUUUCGGGGUCAGUAGAUUGGUCAUGCCUCCGGUAUGCACUGGUCUCACUGGCUCCUCCUUCCUGAUGAACCGUAAUGCCAUUAAUUUGGUGUUGCGGGGAGACUGGACUGUUACUUUGAAAAAAUUAGAGUGUUUAAAGCAGGCUAACGCUUGAAUACAUUAGCAUGGAAUAAUGAAAUAGGACGUUCGAUCUUAUUUUGUUGGUUUCUAAGAUUGACGUAAUGAUUAAUAGGGAUAGUUGGGGGCAUUAGUAUUCAAUUGUCAGAGGUGAAAUUCUUGGAUUUAUUGAAGACUAACUACUGCGAAAGCAUUUGCCAAGGAUGUUUUCAUUAAUCAAGAACGAAAGUUAGGGGAUCGAAGACGAUCAGAUACCGUCGUAGUCUUAACCAUAAACUAUGCCGACUAGGGAUCGGAUGAUGUUAAUUUUUUAAUGACUCAUUCGGCGCCUUACGGGAAACCAAAGUGUUUGGGUUC
rnacentral:rRNA from 1 species